rnacentral:rRNA from 1 species
GACGAACGCUGGCGGCGUGCUUAACACAUGCAAGUCGAACGGAAAGGCCCUGCUUUUGUGGGGUGCUCGAGUGGCGAACGGGUGAGUAACACGUGAGUAACCUGCCCUUGACUUUGGGAUAACUUCAGGAAACUGGGGCUAAUACCGGAUAGGAGCUCCUGCUGCAUGGUGGGGGUUGGAAAGUUUCGGCGGUUGGGGAUGGACUCGCGGCUUAUCAGCUUGUUGGUGGGGUAGUGGCUUACCAAGGCUUUGACGGGUAGCCGGCCUGAGAGGGUGACCGGCCACAUUGGGACUGAGAUACGGCCCAGACUCCUACGGGGGGCAGCAGGGGGGAAUAUUGCACAAGGGGCGGAAGCCUGAUGCAGCAACGCCGCGGGCGGGAGGAGGGCCUUCGGGUUGUAAACCGCUUUCGCCUGGGACGAAGCGGGAGUGACGGGAAUGGGUAAAGAAGCACCGGCUAACUACGU